UCCCCCAUGGCGCAACUGGCUAGCGCGUCAGACUGUUACUUCUCUUCUGAGACAGGAGGAAAAACGGCAUCUGGAGGUUGUUAGUUCGAUCCUAACUGGGGGAG